UGCAGUCGAGCGAACAGACGAGGAGCUUGCUCCUUUGACGUUAGCGGCGGACGGGUGAGUAACACGUGGGUAACCUACCUAUAAGACUGGGAUAACUUCGGGAAACCGGAGCUAAUACCGGAUAAUAUUUCGAACCGCAUGGUUCGAUAGUGAAAGAUGGUUUUGCUAUCACUUAUAGAUGGACCCGCGCCGUAUUAGCUAGUUGGUAAGGUAACGGCUUACCAAGGCGACGAUACGUAGCCGACCUGAGAGGGUGAUCGGCCACACUGGAACUGAGACACGGUCCAGACUCCUACGGGAGGCAGCAGUAGGGAAUCUUCCGCAAUGGGCGAAAGCCUGACGGAGCAACGCCGCGUGAGUGAUGAAGGUCUUCGGAUCGUAAAACUCUGUUAUUAGGGAAGAACAUACGUGUAAGUAACUGUGCACGUCUUGACGGUACCUAAUCAGAAAGCCACGGCUAACUACGUGCCAGCAGCCGCGGUAAUACGUAGGUGGCAAGCGUUAUCCGGAAUUAUUGGGCGUAAAGCGCGCGUAGGCGGUUUUUUAAGUCUGAUGUGAAAGCCCACGGCUCAACCGUGGAGGGUCAUUGGAAACUGGAAAACUUGAGUGCAGA
rnacentral:rRNA from 1 species